rnacentral:lncRNA from 1 species
CUUUAUUUGUCUUUCCCUUCGAUCUAGUGAUGGAACAAAAAAGAGAAAUUCGUUCCUUUUUUCUAUUCAAUAAAAACUAAAAUGAAGAAUUCUAAUUCUUAAUUCUAUAUGGUUGAAUAAAAAUUCGAUUAGCCAUUUGAUAUAAUUGUUAUGCUUAGUGUGUGACUCGUUGGUUUUUUUAGGGUUAGGAUUCAAUAAAAAAAA